AUGCUCAGAACGUUGAACAUUAGUUAUAACAAUCUACAGGGUAACAUUCCUAGGAAGAUCUUCCACACUGGCUCCACACUGACCAUAUGUGCAUUAUCCUACAAUAAUUUACAAGGAACAAUACCUACAGAGUUCAGUAAUCUUAGGCAGCUAGUUGAGCUGCAUCUUUCAUCCAACAAACUUUCUGGGGAAAUUCCUGGUGCUUUAGGUGAGUGUCAAGAGCUGCAGAUCAUCCGAAUGGACCAGAAUAUUCUCACAGGUGAUAUUCCGGAGUCUUUGAGCAAUCUGAAGAGCUUGGUGGUGCUCAACUUUUCACAUAACAGUUUGUCCGGAUCCAUUCCAACAUCACUAAGUGACCUGAAAUAUCUGAACCAGCUAGACGUCUCUUACAACCAUAUACAUGGAGAAAUACCAAGGAAUGGAAUAUUUGAAAAUGAAACGGCUGUUUCUCUCAAUGGGAAUUGGGGACUUUGCGGUGGAGCAGUAAAUCUUCAUAUGCCCACUUGUUCUACUAUCUCCCAGAGAAAAGAAACACUGUACUACUUGGUCAGAGUAUUUAUCCCUUUGGUUGGCUUCGCCUCACUCAUAUUGUUAAUUUACUUUGUACUCCUGGAGGGCAAGACGCCAAGAAGAACAUACUUACUGUUGCUGUCUUUUGGCAAGCAUUUUCCUAGAGUUACCUACGGGGAUCUAGCUCAAGCUACACAGAGCUUUUCUGAGUCAAACCUGGUUGGAAGAGGAAGCUAUGGUUCAGUAUAUAGAGGAAAGCUAACUCAAGCAAAAAUACAAGUGGCUAUUAAAGUUUUUGACCUCGAUGUGAGAUACGCAGACGAUAGAUGA
rnacentral:rRNA from 1 species